CGAAUCCUGCACGACCCACCAAUUUCAGCAUUUAACUCAGAUGCUGAACGUGAAGGAUAACGUUGCGACAGCAACGGCCCGAAGGGCGAGGCGAAGUCGAGUCAUCCUGCACGACCCACCA
rnacentral:sRNA from 1 species